rnacentral:rRNA from 1 species
GACGAACGCUGGCGGCGUGCUUAACACAUGCAAGUCGAACGGAGAGGCCCUGCUUUUGUGGGGUGCUCGAGUGGCGAACGGGUGAGUAACACGUGAGUAACCUGCCCUUGACUUUGGGAUAACUUCAGGAAACUGGGGCUAAUACCGGAUAGGAGCUCCUGCUGCAUGGUGGGGGUUGGAAAGUUUCGGCGGUUGGGGAUGGACUCGCGGCUUAUCAGCUUGUUGGUGGGGUAGUGGCUUACCAAGGCUUUGACGGGUAGCCGGCCUGAGAGGGUGACCGGCCACAUUGGGACUGAGAUACGGCCCAGACUCCUACGGGAGGCAGCAGUGGGGAAUAUUGCACAAUGGGCGGAAGCCUGAUGCAGCAACGCCGCGUGCGGGAUGACGGCCUUCGGGUUGUAAACCGCUUUCGCCUGUGACGAAGCGUGAGUGACGGUAAUGGGUAAAGAAGCGCCGGCUAACUACGUG